rnacentral:rRNA from 1 species
CCUACGGGGGGCAGCAGUGAGGAAUAUUGGUCAAUGGGCGCAAGCCUGACCCAGCAACGCCGCGUGAAGGAAGAAGGCUUUCGGGUUGUAAACUUCUUUUCUCAGGGACGAAGAAAGUGACGGUACCUGAGGAAGAAGCCACGGCUAACUACGUGCAAGCAGCCGCGAUAAUAAGUAGGUGGCAAGCGUUAUCAGGAUUUACUGGGUGUAAAGGGCGUGUAGGCGGGGCAGAAAGUCAGAUGUGAAACCCACGGGCUCAACCUGUGGCCUGCAUUUGAAACUUUUUCUCUUGAGUAAUGGAGAGGCAGACGGAAUUCCUAGUGUAGCGGUGAAAUGCGUAGAUAUUAGUAGGAACACCAGUGGCGAAGGCGGUCUGCUGGACAGCAACUGACGCUGAGGCGCGAAAGCGUGGGGAGCAAACAGGAUUAGAUACCCUUGUAGUC